UUACCCAACUGUCUUGGCAUUUUGGAACUGAUCCUGUGGUGAUAAGAAGAUCUCAAAGGCAGCUUGACAAAACCUGGGAAAUUCUCCAUUACAUUGCUAUGACAAAAUUCUUCUAGUGAACCAAAACAUCAAAGGAGAUUGCUGGUAGAAAAAUCUUUGCCAGCCCAACUGGUUUGCUGUGAGUUUAGAGAAGGCUGUGGAGAAUCUGAGCUGCUGUUUUCUACUACACAGCUAAGAAGAAAGACUAACGUACUCUUCUUUUGUGAGAUCUUCUGGAGAGGGGCUCAGGAGCUGGAGCUGGAAUAGGGAGACUGAACUGCAGGAUGUUAGGAAGAAGUUAAAGAGGAGAACAAAGAGAAGUCAAUUGGAGGACCGCAGCAGGGCAGAAUUGCAGAGGAGGGGAGGGAAGUGUUCUUCAGAAUGCUUUGCCCUUGGAAAGGUAUCCAUGUGAUCAAAAGCUUUUACAGUUACACUGAGUUCAGAGAAGUGAAGUCUAAUAGGUUAAGAGUCAGACACACACAGACACGGCUAAAAGCAUCUCCUUCAUAGUCUGCCUGUGCUUGAAGUUCUACCAUGAAAGAGUCAGUUCUCUGGACCUGGAAAAUUUUUCAUCUUACAGGAAUAAAGCCUCCUCUAAAUAAAAGAUCACCAAAUUUGGGAUUAAGGAAUCUGGACUCUUCCUGCCUCUCCUACUUGAUACUUGUGUGAUUUUUUAGCAAGUUGCUUGGUUAAUAAUUCCUCACAUUUUUUAACACUUUAAGAUUUUCAAUGGCCCAGUGGAUAAAGUGCCUGACCUGGAAUCAGGAAGAUCUAAGUUCAAAUCCAGUCUCAGACACUUACUAGCUGUGUGACUCUGUUUGCCUUAAUUUCCUCAUCUGUAAAAUGAGCUGGAAAUG